rnacentral:rRNA from 1 species
AGAGUUUGAUCCUGGCUCAGGAUGAACGCUGGCGGCAUGCCUAAUACAUGCAAGUCGAACGAGAGGAAGGAAAGCUUGCUUUCCUAAAUCUAGUGGCGAACGGGUGAGUAACACGUAGGUAACCUGCCCAUGUGCCCGGGAUAACUUCUGGAAACGGAUGCUAAAACCGGAUAGGUAGCAGACAAGCAUUUGACUGCUAUUAAAGUGGCUAAGGCCAUGAACAUGGAUGGACCUGCGGUGCAUUAGCUAGUUGGUGAGGUAACGGCCCACCAAGGCGACGAUGCAUAGCCGGCCUGAGAGGGCGGACGGCCACAUUGGGACUGAGACACGGCCCAAACUCCUACGGGAGGCAGCAGUAGGGAAUUUUCGGCAAUGGGGGGAACCCUGAACGAGCAAUGCCGCGUGAGUGAGGAAGGUCUUCGGAUCGUAAAGCUCUGUUGUAAGAGAAAAACGGCACUCAUAGGGAAUGAUGAGUGAGUGAUGGUAUCUUACCAGAAAGUCACGGCUAACUACGUGCCAGCAGCCGCGGUAAUACGUAGGUGGCGAGCGUUAUCCGGAAUGAUUGGGCGUAAAGGGUGCGUAGGUGGCAGAUCAAGUCUGGAGUAAAAGGUAUGGGCUCAACCCGUACUUGCUCUGGAAACUGAUCAGCUAGAGAACAGAAGAGGACGGCGGAACUCCAUGUGUAGCGGUAAAAUGCGUAGAUAUAUGGAAGAACACCGGUGGCGAAGGCGGCCGUCUGGUCUGGAUUCUGACACUGAAGCACGAAAGCGUGGGGAGCAAAUAGGAUUAGAUACCCUAGUAGUCCACGCCGUAAACGAUGAGAACUAGGUGUUGGGGGAAUAACUCAGUGCCGCAGUUAACGCAAUAAGUUCUCCGCCUGGGGAGUAUGCACGCAAGUGUGAAACUCAAAGGAAUUGACGGGGGCCCGCACAAGCGGUGGAGUAUGUGGUUUAAUUCGAAGCAACGCGAAGAACCUUACCAGGCCUUGACAUCCCUUGCAGAGGUAUAGAGAUAUAUCCGAGGUUAUCAAGGAGACAGGUGGUGCAUGGUUGUCGUCAGCUCGUGUCGUGAGAUGUUGGGUUAAGUCCCGCAACGAGCGCAACCCUU